GCUCAUCUUUACAAAAGCUAUUGGAUUGAACAUGGUGCACACAAAUUCAUUGAAAUGGCAGAUGCAUCUGUUGCUAUCUCCUUCUUUGCAUUUGUAACCUUUGCCUUAGCUUCUCUUGUCUCUGGUUUCAUCCUAUUUAGGUUCACAAUCACAUAGUAAUAAUUACUCUAAAUAUAUGUCACAUAUAGAUAAUUGAGACAAUUAAAUUUCAAGUAUACAAUGGACAAAUGAUGAAGCUUUAUAUGUGUCAAGUAUACAAUGGACGAAUGAUGAAACUUUAUCAUUCCUGAAUUUUGCAGAUUUUCAUAUUUUAAGAAAUAAGGUUUGUUUCAGAGGAUCUUUUACUUUUCAAAAAUGAUAAAAUAUUACUCUAUCGGUACAUUUUAAGGGUUACUUUUGACCGUUCUACACAUGCCAAAACACAACUUUGAUCGUUAAUAUAUUUAAUUAACUAUUAUAAAUAGUUAUGAAAAUUUUAUAUCUUGAAAAUAUUCGUCGAGAAAAAUUGAACAAUAUAUUAUCUGCUAACCUUUAUUUUUAUAUAUUAAUAAAAAUUUAUGAUCAAAAUAUAUUAUGUUAAUAGAAUACAAUAGUCGAAAGUGACACUUAAAAAAGAGCGGAGGGAGUAUAACUUUUUUAUGCAGAAGCAUAAGUUUAAUUUAUAAAUUGAAAAUAUUAACAAACUUUUUCUCCAAAUGUAAUUGGAGAGCUAUGUUGAAAAUAUAUGCCGACCACAAAUUUGAUUUUCCUCAUCUCCCCUCAUUUCCCCUUUGUUUUAGGCGAUCGAGUUUUAUUGUGGAUCACAAUUAUAAGUGGUCUAUAGUAAACUAAUACUUAAAAAACAUUAUAAUUCUAACAACGAUUGAUAAUACUCGUAAGAAGUACGUAUUAGCGAUUAUGUAUUUUGAGGAAUAGCGACAUCAUUAGCUCUCAAUUCUACGGCAAUUUUGAUUGAUCGAGAAAGAAAUUCAAAAGGAACUUGAUUUUUCGUGCAAUAGUUAGAUAAUUGAGACAAUUAAAUUUCAUUAAAAUAGUUUCAUUAGCACCCAAGAUAUUAUAAUAUGUGAUUGUUAAUUAAAUGACGCGCAUUUGGUAGGAUGAAGGGGCGAGGAAGGACGGGAGAUCGAAUAUCUAACCAUUGUUAGGCUUGGCAGGAGGAAAUUGAUGUUGUCGUCUUCUAACUUCUAAGGAGUGGACCAAUUGAAGGGCGACAAUAAAUUCGAAUAGAUAUAGUUGGACAUAUGAGGAUUUACAGGACACAUUAGAGGAAUGUUGGACGGAUAGAAGGGGUGGUGCGAUGAGGAUUCAUGGAGCUUAAAGGGUUCAAGGGCAAGGCAAAGUCGGCAUAAGUGUUUGGACAGAUGAAAAUGGUCGAAAAUGUGUUUAUCUCUCUCAUAAAUUAACAAAUAAUAGAGGACAGUUGAGCCGAUGAAAACGGUUGAAAGUGACGCUGCUGGCUGGAGUGGCUGCUAUUAUGAAAAUAGUUGGUUAUGUACAUACUCCUAUAGAAAAAAAUUAAUAACGACAAAAAAAGUAUAUGAGUGUACAUAAUUUUUUCACGUAAUAAAAGAAAUGAAGAAUUCUUUGAUAUCCAUGAAAAAGAAGGUACCGAUUUUUGUAAAAUAAAAUUAAUUAAAAAUUAAAUUCACUUACAAAUAAAUAAAUGUAAAAAAAAAUGAUUUUUUUUUUUAAGAAAAAUGUAAAAAAAUGAUGUAGCGUGAAAUAAUUGAAUGUUAAGUAAUCCAAUAAAAGUCUAAGGUAAAUAUUUCAUCUUUUGUAUAUGGUAUUGGCUGUGGUACCUCUCAUUGUGGCCAAACGGUAUUUCUUUUCCAUCAAGAAGAAAAGGCAAAGGUCAUUUCUAGCUCUUAAGUAAAAUGGUAAAAAAAAAGAAGUACUAUGCACACCACUUAAUACACACCAAAAGUCAAGAGGUAAACAAAUUAAACUAAAUACACUUUCAUUCUCAAUGAUCAAUAAAAAAAUAAUCAUUAUUAACCGAAUAAUAAGAGUGUUUGGUAUGUACAAAGAAAAAAAAAGAAGAGUGUUUGGUACUAAUUGCAUAUGAUGGAAUUUAGCUCUUGCAACGUGGCGAACCAAAGUUUAAAUUCGAGCUAAGUAAAGUACACACAUAUAAUGUCCGACACCGUCUUAAAUAAGAUUAUCUCAAAUAGAGUGAACUUAUGGAAAACCAAAAAAAUAAAUAAAGUGUUUUUAUUUGUUUUGGUUUACAAUAUUGGUAAUGAGGAUUGAACCUAAGACCUUGGCAAUGAAGAUCGAACGCUAUGUUUGAAUUGGUGGAAUAUAAUGGAAUGGAGCAGAGCGGAAUAGAUGGGAGUGAAAUGAGAUGGAGUGGAAUGGAAUAAAUCUUUCAUUCCAUUGUUUGGAUAUUUUAAAAAUGAGAUGAAUAAAAUAUCCAAACAAUGUAACAUUAUUCUAUUCCAUCCCGCUCCGCUCCAUUUCAUUAUAUUCCAUCAAUCCAAACAGAACAUUAAAGUCUAGACCUCAUGCAUACUACUCAAAUCUCUCACUACUGGACCAAAUCUAGUGGCCUAGUUUCGGAAAAUAAAAUAAAUGAUCAGUUUUUUCUCUCAAUAAUUAAAAAAUUACAUAAUGUUUAGUUAUAAGUAAAAAAUAUAACAACAUAUUUUUUAUUUAUAUUUUUUUGCCAAAAAAAAAAAAAGUUUUUAGUUUUGGUAAAUUUUGUAUUUAAUAUAUAUUACCUAAUAGAUUUUGUGCUAGAAAGCAGCAUGCUUUUAAAGCAGUGUUCAUUUUACACAAAGUGGAAGCUAAAACUACAACUAGUUGUGCUUUUAGCUGCAAAGGCUUUGAUUUUUGAACAUAACAUUAUGAGUAUUAGUAGCAUUGAAAGCUUAACUCAAGAUACUAAAGAUGAAUCAAAAGAACAAACACAAGAAGAGAACAAUGAAGUACUCAAAGUCUUGGAGGAAAAGAUCACAAUGAUAGAUCCCAAGCACACAAGUGGGGAUAGUGAGGCAAUUUCCAAUUUCUUGAGGUCUAACAAAGAGGUGAAGUGGUACAUGGCUUUGUUGGGGAUUAGGAUUGUUGCUUUUGUGUUAUGUUUGAUUGCUUUCUCUAUAUUGGGUGCUAAUGAGCAAAAGAUUUUGGUAAACGAGGAAAUAACAAAUUGGUUCUCGAGUGGAUUCUCUGUUAAAACUCCAUACGAAUUCCGUUGGUAUGACUACGACGAAUUCAAGUAUGUUUCUCUUCUUACUCCAUUCCAUCAUAUAGUAGCAAGAUUUGUGUUUGUAGAAAUUGAAAUCUUCUCCCAUGCAAUAAUUCUAGCCAAAACUCGAAUUUUUUAGUGUACCAAAAUGAAUGUCAAUAUUUAUAGCAUAAGAGCUUAUAGCUUAUGUAUAAACUAUAAACUAUUUAUAUAACCAACGAUCGAAUAAAGUAAAACUAUUUUUAUAUAAGUUAUAAGUUGGUUUCAUAAGCUAUCUUAGCGAACUUAUAGAAAUAAGUUGAAAACAGUUCCUGGACAUGUCAUAAACUGUUUCCAGACACUCCUAAAUAGUCUCACAAGUCACGCAUGCUUAUAUAGUAAAUAUGUUCAAAUAAGUCGAUCCAAACACCUUAUUGGCAUUUCUUCUAUAUCAUGCAAUUGUUAUUGUUUGUAUUGACCUAUGUGAUGAUGGUGUGUGAUUAUGGUUUGAGUGUGAUUAUGCAGGUAUAGUUUUUCAGCAAAUGUGAUUGGAUUUGUGUAUUCUGGAUUGCAAAUUUGUUAUCUAGUGAAGUACUUGAUCACAAAAAAUCACACUAUAAACCCCAAGUUGCAUGGUUACUUCAAUGUUGCUAUUGAUCAGGUAAAGCUAGUGAUCUUUAAUAAAUUUCAAAUUAAUAUAAUAUUCUACAAACUAAUUUCACUAUUUGGUUUUAUCAAUUCAAAAUUUUGUGGUAUGACUUGCUCUUGUUAAUGAAAGAAUAUGUUUGAAAAUCAUUUUGUUAACAUUUUCCUUACAUAUAUUUUCUAGCUUCAUAUGGAUCAUAACAUAUCCUUAAGUGUUCUGAUUGACUUAUUUUGAACUGCAGACAUUGGCAUAUGUCCUAAUAUCAGCUUCAUCAUCAGCUGCAACUGCAGCUCAUCUUUACAAAAGCUAUUGGAUUGAACAUGAUGCACACAAAUUCAUUGAAAUGGCAGAUGCAUCUGUUUCUAUGUCCUUCUUUGCAUUUGUAACCUUUGCCUUAGCUUCUCUUGUCUCUGGUUUCAUCCUUUUCAGGUUCACCUAGUUUAUAAGUACUAAAUGUGUCAAGUGUACAAUGGAUGAAUGAUCAAACUUUAUCAUUUCUGAAUUUUGCAAAUUUUCAUAUUUUAAGAAAUAAGAUUUGUUUCAGAGGAUGUUUUACUUUUCAAACUUAAAAAUUCACCAAAACUAUUAAAUUGAAGGCUAGAAAUUGAU
rnacentral:lncRNA from 1 species